GCACAAGCGGUGGAGCAUGUGGUUUAAUUCGAUGCAACGCGAAGAACCUUACCUACUCUUGACAUCCAGAGAACUUUCCAGAGAUGGAUUGGUGCCUUCGGGAACUCUGAGACAGGUGCUGCAUGGCUGUCGUCAGCUCGUGUUGUGAAAUGUUGGGUUAAGUCCCGCAACGAGCGCAACCCUUAUCCUUUGUUGCCAGCCGUUCGGCCGGGAACUCAAAGGAGACUGCCAGUGAUAAACUGGAGGAAGGUGGGGACGACGUCAAGUCAUCAUGCCCCUUACGAGUAGGGCUACACACGUGCUACAAUGGCGCAUACAAAGAGAAGCGACCUCGCGAGAGCAAGCGGACCUCAUAAAGUGCGUCGUAGUCCGGAUUGGAGUCUGCAACUCGACUCCAUGAAGUCGGAAUCGCUAGUAAUCGUAGAUCAGAAUGCUACGGUGAAUACGUUCCCGGGCCUUGUACACACCGCCCUUCACACCAUGGGAGUGGGUGCAAAAGAAGUAGGUAGC
rnacentral:rRNA from 1 species